GCGUAUGCAAGUUACCUAUCAGAGGGGGAUAACCCGGCGAAAGUCGGACUAAUACCGCAUAAAGCAGGGAUCCCGCAUGGGAAAUUUGCUAAAGAUUCAUCGCUGAUAGAUAGGCAUGCGUUCCAUUAGGCAGUUGGCGGGGUAACGGCCCACCAAACCGACGAUGGAUAGGGGUUCUGAGAGGAAGGUCCCCCACAUUGGUACUGAGACACGGACCAAACUCCUACGGGAGGCAGCAGUGAGGAAUAUUGGUCAAUGGGCGUAAGCCUGAACCAGCCAAGUCGCGUGAGGGAUGAAGGUUCUAUGGAUCGUAAACCUCUUUUAUAAGGGAAUAAAGUGCGGGACGUGUCCCGUUUUGUAUGUACCUUAUGAAUAAGGAUCGGCUAACUCCGUGCCAGCAGCCGCGGUAAUACGGAGGAUCCGAGCGUUAUCCGGAUUUAUUGGGUUUAAAGGGUGCGUAGGCGGCCUUUUAAGUCAGCGGUGAAAGUCUGUGGCUCAACCAUAGAAUUGCCGUUGAAACUGGGGGGCUUGAGUAUGUUUGAGGCAGGCGGAAUGCGUGGUGUAGCGGUGAAAUGCUUAGAUAUCACGCAGAACCCCGAUUGCGAAGGCAGCCUGCCAAGCCAUGACUGACGCUGAUGCACGAAAGCGUGGGGA
rnacentral:rRNA from 1 species